rnacentral:pre_miRNA from 1 species
AAAAAGACAAACCCUGGGUUUCCGUGUCUAACGUUUGACUGUCCGUAUUAUAAGAAUUUUUUUUAUAAUUUCUAUUUUUAUUGUUGUUAGAUGAUAAACAUGAUUAAUACUUUAUACGUGACUUGUCUUUUUAAUUUUUUUUCAUAAUUUUUUUAAAUAAGACGAACGGUCAAACGUUGGACACGGAAACCCAGGGUU